rnacentral:tRNA from 1 species
GCCGGAAUAGCUCAGUUGGUAGAGCANAGGACUGAAAAUCCUCGUGU